CCUGCUUUCCCUCCAGAAACACAACAUCUGUGUGGGAAUACUGCUAACCUCUCUUUUGCUCAGCUAACCAGAGUAGUACAGAAGCUGCCUGCACACAAGGGUGCAAUAUGUGCCUUGUGGACACCUCCUGACCCCUGAGAACCCGGAAGAGGGAGAUGAUCUAUGUGUCCGGGCAGUGGGAUGCACAGCUGCGACAGAGCCAGAUGGGCAGAGAAGGAGGGUUGUGGAGGAAAUCAGAUGAUGGAUUUCUUCAGGCUCUUUCAUCUUUGAGUCUGUGCUAUCAGAAAGAAACAUGCUUCCUUCUCACUUAUGCCAUGAGAAUGGACAGUGAAGCGGAAAUCUGGUGGCUGCUGGCUCUGAUUCCAGAGAAUAAAAUGUUGGAUGAAUUUGGUACAGACUUCUCUGAGCUCUGAGACUGGUUCUGUUGCCAGUAAUCAGUCAGAGAAAAUCAGGAGCAAAGCCCAACUCAAACAUGGGACUUAUUUGUAGGAUAACUUGGACUUUCUAAUUGCUUUCUGUUCCUCUCAUUUAAUGAUGUUAUGAAAAUCAGACAAUAUCCAAAAGCACUUUCCACAGUGAAGCAGUGUCUUGUAAGGUGGAGCAAAUCAGAAACCACAAGAGGUAGUCAAGCAUGAACUUGGGAAUGAAGACUACAUCUUCAUGCAUGUUUUUAUCUGGACCAGCAGGAUAGAGAUGCUCCAGGUUAAAUCCAUUUGCAAACAUUUUGUGGUAUGCAAUAGAUCGAAUUCAACCCAAACUGUAUAUUCACUUCCGUAUGUCAUGUUUCCCGUGCUUAACAGGUUACUUAAUUUACUUCGUAUCCAAGCCAGGUCAUUAAGACAGCUUUGAUAAUGCAGGUAGAGGGAAUUUUUAUUUUUUUUUCUAGACCAAUAUAAAACUCCAGAACAGCACUGACCAAAAAUACUGCAGCCUCAACACCAGAUGAUUUAUUCUUUCAGGGCCAAAUUGCACAAUAAUGUGGAUACUGUGACUGAGACACCAGCAGCCUUCUCUCACACAGAUCUUAGCAGCAGAAUUUGAUGCUACUAAUGUUUAUAUCCCCAUUCUUACACAAAUUUUUCCAUCAUCGUGGCUAAUGAAAUAGACCAUUCUUGACAGCAAAAAUGCAUGUGAACAUGUUGGAAAAGAGUGUAUGCACUUUAUACUACAUGACAGGAUACAGAACAAGGUGACUUUUUUGGAAACUGAAUUUCAAAGGAUGUGGGAAUAACACAGACCAUCUGUGUAGUCACUUCAUUUUCUGUUGAAAACAUGGAACUUACAAACAGGAAAGAAUUAUCUGGCCCAGCAUGUCUGCUUUUUUUGGUGUACCUUAAUCCCACUUUCCUGUCUUUUCACUCUAUGACUUGACCCCUUUUGUGCUGAAGAAGGAAAUAUGAGGCUCUCUUGAACUCAUUUACACUUCUCAGCCUCAGUCUUCUGAUCAAUUAUUUAUGCCAUAUAUUCAGAGCUCUUUCAGUGUAACACCUCCUGAGUUUACUUGGUUUAGUUUAUGUUUCCACCAGAUUUUGUCUUUUUAAUAUGAGCAAUUUGCAGAUUAAAAAGGGUGGAAUUUACAUAUAUAAAACUUUCCAUAGCAAGCAAUGCCAUGAUGACUUUUUUUUAUUAAAGCAGGGAAUGUAGUUACAGUGAUAAUGUGGAAUCUUAACAACACUUCAAUUAUUUUUUUUCAAAGAAGGGAAAUUAAGAACUAGAAAUAGAAAAUGCUGACAUUUUUACAAAUUCAAAAUAUUUCCUGAAUCACCAUGUAUCAAAGUCAUCUUGAGGAAAUUUAUAUUUCUAAACAUCAGGUGUCUAAGUUGGGCUCACCAUGAUGCCUCCCUUGGCUAAUGAACAGAACUGUUUACAGGACCCAUUGCAGACUUAGUUUACUAGGAAAUGAAUUGCCUUGUAGGUGCUUAUGUGCCUCCAUUGCUUGCUAACGAAACCUGUGGAUUCUUAUUCAGAGUGAAACACCAAAUUCUAGAUGAUUUAAUUAGAGCUAAUGAAUUCCACACCAUGUGUCUACUGCUCCACAAAAACUAUAAGGUAAUUAGAAAUAAUAGGAUUCAGAGAUGUAGGUUUUCAUUGUGACUCCCAAUUCAUUACCUUAUCCACUGGACCACUAAACCAGAAAAUGUCACUGCUGUAAAAGCAACCGCAACUGAAGAAGCUUCAGUUUCAGUUUCAUUAAAUAUUGCUGAAGAAAUCAGGCGUGUCCCUCCUCCCUCCUGGGUAACAUGGGGAAUCUAAAGCCGAAGAUCUGUAGUCACUGACUGAGAAAUGUGGCUGACAAGAAGACCAAACAGCUCUUAGGUCAUAAAUAUUUUGAGGCCACUGCAAAAAGAAGCUAUGUCAGAAAAUUCUACCACUGCUUGAGGUGCUGAGAUGUGGAGCUCUGUGUGGGAUGAAGAGAAGAAUGUAAAACUCAGGGCAAAGCAUGACUUUCAGCAGAGGAUGUGGAAGGCAGGAAAAGCAAGACAGACUGUUCUUCUCUAUAUACUGAUGUAGUCUUGGACCCAAAAUUACAAUGCAAAGUAAGAACUGUUCAAAUACCACUCACAUAAUGAGUAGAGUCAUUGCCCUUUCUUCCUGGUAGUGAGCCCCUAGAUGUAGAAGGGAAGCUGGAGGAAAAGAAGUAUUUUUGCAGUCACAUAAAGAAUUGAGUCUUCUUAGGUUUAUAUAGAAUAUUUUAUUCAAACAUUUCUGCAUUUGUAAUUUUCUUUCCUUAACAUUAUUCUGUUAGUCCUACUACUAAGUUUGCUCUUUUAUGACUGUAUUUUGGGAAACAUUUGAUAGAGAAAACCCUUCCAUGACCAUUGGGGAGAGACUUUUUACACGGGAAGCUAGUGAAAAGGUAAUGGUAUUAAGAAGGAAGUGGGUAGGUUUAGGUUAGACAUUAAGAAGAAAUUCUUUGCUGUGAGGAUGGUGAGGCACCAGGAGAGCUUGCCCAGAAAAGCUGUGGAUUCCCCAUCCCUGGAAGUGUUCAAGGCCAGGUUAGAUGGGACUUUGAGCAACCUGGUCUAAUAGAAUGUGUCAUUGUCCAUGGCAGGGCUUGGGACUGGAUGAUCUUUAAGAUCACUUGUGACCCAAACCAUUCUAUGAUUCCAUGAUUUUAUGAUUUCCACUGAAUCGAGUAACUUUGUUUUUGCAAAGGAUUUAUAAAUGUACUUACUGCAACACCACAGACUUAUGGAUGCAUGGAAUAUCAUGUACCUCCACUCUCCCAGGAGAAUGAUCGGUUCAUUUAUAAUGAGAGGUUGGGAGGCUGGAUGUAAUGCAGUUGAUGAUUGUUGCUGGACUCCCUCUCAGUCAAAAUGGUGAAACACCCCACUAGGUCAGGAUGCAGCUUUGUCUCAGUCUAGUUCUGCUUUUUCACUGCAUUUUCCAGAGCAGUUUUCUGAGAAGAACUUUGUCCUCUCACCCUGCUUGGCACAGUAGCCUAGAGAGGCACUAGCACACCAUAUCAUUCUCAGGUGUGUGAUCCAACUCUGCUCUGCAACAUCAUUGAGGUCCAGAAUAGGCAGAAAUUAAACACUGCUGGAGAAAUAUUUCCAGGACUUGCUCAAAAUUUAUGCAAGUAAUGUACUAUAAAAUAUGUAUUUUAAUAUUUGGUCUAUUUACCACUUAGGCCAAGAAACAUACAAAAAAAAAAGAGACUCAUUUAAACCCCUGUAGUUUGCCAAAAUACCAGACUUAUUUCAUGUCCAAAGGUAAAGAUACCCUUGGGGAACUAGGUAAAUGUACAUAAAUCAAUAUGAGAGGCCAUUAUUGCAGAGAAAACAGUGGUGAGAAACACUGGGCAUACAACUGGGACAGUUCUUGGCAGAUAUUAUAUUUAAUAACAAUGCUCUCAGUAGAGAAAUGUAAGUUUUAGGCCAUUGGCCCUACACACUACAUCUCACAUAAGUGAAAUAUUAUUAAAGCAGAUUUCUGUUUUAUCAGACUGUAAAAUUCAUUCACACUGAGCAUGCUUCCUUUCCUUGCUUGUGACUAGCUUUAGGUACAUAUGCCAGCACAGUCUCAGGGCCAAUAUUUAAUGUGCCAUUUUGAUACCUUUAUAGAGAGGAGAAACUAAAUGUAAUUUACAUGAAUUCGUAGUUCUAAUGCAAGCUGUAAAAAGAAAUAAAAUAUUCUGGGUUGUGUUUGAUUUUUCUUAUGGAUAUGUUUGCCAGAUUGUAGCAAAGCAUAUGUGCUAUGGAGGAUAAAAAAAAUUCACAGCUUGAAAAAAGUCAGCAUCUGACUGGGUUUUAUUCCUGCCUCAAAAGUAAACAGUUUUCACAAUUAACCCCACUGCUCUGUUUAUACAUCAACUAAAAUGUGGAGAGUACACACAGUUGUUCUCACUAAUUUGUGAUAAGA
rnacentral:lncRNA from 13 species